CCUACGGGAGGCAGCAGUGGGGGAUAUUGCACAAUGGGGGGAACCCUGAUGCAGCGACGCCGCGUGGGUGAAGAAGCGCCUCGGCGCGUAAAGCCCUGUCAGCAGGGAAGAAAAUGACGGUACCUGAAGAAGAAGCCCCGGCUAACUACGUGCCAGCAGCCGCGGGAAUACGUAGUGGGCAAGCGUUAUCCGGAUUUACUGGGUGUAAAGGGGGCGCAGACGGCGAUGCAAGCCAGGAGUGAAAGCCCGGGGCCCAACCCCGGGACUGCGCUUGGAACUGCGUGGCUGGAGUGCAGGAGGGGCAGGCGGAAGUCCUGGUGUAGCGGUGAAAUGCGUAGAGAUCAGGAGGAACACCGGUGGCGAAGGCGGCCUGCUGGACUGCAACUGACGUUGAGGCCCGAAAGCGUGGGGAGCAAACAGGAUUAGAUACCCGGGUAGUC
rnacentral:rRNA from 1 species